rnacentral:rRNA from 1 species
AGGACGAACGCUGGCGGCGUGCCUAACACAUGCAAGUCGAACGAGGUUCAGCUGGUGGCAACACCAGUGAAGACCUAGUGGCGGACGGGUGAGUAACACGUGAGCAACCUGCCCUUUGGACCGGGAUAACACCUCGAAAGGGGUGCUAAUACCGGGUGAGGUCUCCGGCCCGCAUGGGUUGGGGAGGAAAGGGGAAACCCGCCGAAGGAGGGGCUCGCGGCCCAUUAAUGGCGCACCAAGGCGACGAUGGGUAGCCGGCCUGAGAGGGUGAUCAGCCACACUGGGACUGAGACACGGCCCAGACUCCUACGGAGGCAGC